UGAUUGUUGGAAAUUCGGAAACAUUCAGACCA
rnacentral:sRNA from 1 species